CGCCCCGCCCCGCCCCGCCCGGGGAUCCCGCCUCCCGCCCGCGCCGCGCCCGCAGCUCCCUUUGGCAGAGUAAUGUCUGCACCGGUUAAAGCCUCCUUUCUGCAUUUGUUUAAGGGAAGAUUCUUUAAGGGAAGGAUCGUGAAAACGUCCUGGUACGCUGAAGAACUCUACAACUUCCAAAACACAUUCAAACCCUAUGGCACUGAAAAUGCUAUGACUUGCUCUGAAGUUAGGCUCAAGUGAACAGAGAAACUCAUCCCAGUGACCUAACUGGAGGCAACCCAAACCUUUGGCUACACGUACUAUUUUGAAGAGGCCCACCGACAGAAUACAAGGGGUACUUUCUGUGGCAUAAUUACUCCGUGAAUGGACUAUGUAGUACUUCAGUUCUCUGGCAUUGCAGCCUGGAGAUUGUCCCAUCCAUGCAUCUGACCUGGCAGCCUGUUGUUACAUUGCUCUGUUACGAGGAACCAAUGAACAAGUUCAAGGAGAAAUGUUCAUCCUGUUGCGAAGCAGCAGCACAACAGUCUGGUGGGUGAGAAAUGACAGAAGCAGCUAAAGCAGCAACAGCUGCCCUGUGAGGAUCAAGGAAAAGGGUCACUGUUGUCAGUCAGAGCAUGUGUCUGCAUGGGUCUCCCACCCAGUCAGAACAAAGAUUAGAUGGUACUUUCUGACACAAAUGCACAAAUGCCCACAGUGCCUUGGGGGAAAGGAAAUGGAGGGAGAUGCCAGAUGGCAAGUCCAAACAAGAGAAACCACUGCAAAAGCUACCCAAGCUGUCACCAGCUAACAGACAAACUCUGCUUGUGAGCUGUCUCUCUUUCCCCACUGUUUGGGGGAUUCAGAUAUUUAGAUUGCUUGUUUUUCAGAGCCAGCAUAACAAAGCUUCACUCCCAGUUGCUCACAGAUAUGUCUAAGAGCAAUAAGAAGAGUAACAAAGAACUUUAUUGCUAAAUGACUCUGCUAGAUGAAAGCUAGCAAAGAUUAUAUAGAAUAAGUCACUAAUGAUACUUCAAGCAUGAGAGGCUGAAAUGACAGCAAUCUAAACAGAAGGAAUAUCAGCUAGAGUACAAGCAGGAAUACCAACAAUUAGAUUAAAUUUGAACACACCUUUUAGAAGGACCUCAGAGACCUGUCCAAGCCCAGUGAGUCUCUGUGCACUCCCAUACACUGUGCUGCUAGCACAACAGCUAUUCCAAAGAUACUCUAGAACAGAUGGAGCUCCUGCUGCAGGAUGGGCAUUGAAAGGAGUGGCUUCAAUAGGAGUGAACAAGAACAGUUCCACCAGAGAGUGUCUUGUAACUUAGGAGGUAAAGCACCAUGGUAGGAGAUGUGGGAUGAAAUCACUUCAUGGGUAAAAGGAAGACUAUCCACACUGAGCUGCCUGAUGAGAGGAGGGAAGGCCAUCAGCUUAUUUUCUGGUUGUCUUUGAGGAGGCUGAUGCAAGAAGUACCCAAAGGGGCUUAAUCAAAGGAGGCACGCACACUGCUGAACGCUGUCUGCACAGAGGUUCAGUGCCUGAGGAAUGCUAAAAGCCUCAGUGCCUACAGGCUAAGACGAAACUGAGCAGAGAGCUUCUGAAUAUUUAAAUUUUGGGCUUAGACACUUUUAAAGAAAGCUAAACACAUAAAUCCUUUUUUUAAACAUAGCCCUCCUUGUGAAAAAAGGUGUUACUAUAGGUUGUCAUGAGGUUCUGUGGGGGUUUUAGGGUUUACUUCUGGUCUGUAGUACAAAAUUUAAGCCAGAGGAAAUGCCAGAGAAAAGCAGAACACACUAGUGUCAAAAGCAUCAAGUGAGACCAAAAUCUGCCCCACAACAAGAGAUGUCUGUAAAGACUGGAUGUUCUUUGACGCAUUAUGUAACACAUUGCAGCAAAACAUUCAGUUGCUUCCAGGACUCUGAACAGUAUCAAAGAAUAAAGUUAUUUUAAGAAGAGAUGAAGCUAUGACUUUUAAGAACUAUGCUGAAUACAUUUUUGUCCAUCUGACUUUCUGUAUGUGAAAGUGCAUUAUUUAAAGUAGCAUUGGGUCACUUUAUCUUUUGUUUCAAAAUAAAUGUACUUUAACUUUUUUAUGUGAAGGACAUGAGGGUGUUAUAAGAGGAAGCUGAAAAAUUAACACCAACUCUUUGAAAUGGAAAUUGCUUUAUCAAAGAUUAUCAGUGAUAACAGAUUAUUUGUAGAAUGUGAUAAUACAUCAUGGAAGUGGUUUUUGAAAUGCUGAUGCACACGCCUCUAAAACAGAUCUGUAUUGCUGUGGCAUGUCCAAAAGAUCUUGUCUUCCUGUACUGCACUUUUCAAGUAUGUCUGCGCAUGCUAAGAUUGUCAAUAUCCCUGGUAUAUCCAUGAAAAAUUAAUGAUUUUGAAAGACCGUGUAGGUGAUGCAGCUGGCAUGACUUCUGCAGUAAACAGCAAAAAAACACCCCUAUUGUUCUCUGGACUUUGAUUUGUAAAAAUUUAAAGUAAUAAAACAAGGUUUCUAAAGUAUCUAUAAAUUUUUGGAGGUUCUAGAUUAUUCUUAGACUCUAAUGUUUAGACACCUACAAAUUAAUCAGAAACCACAGAAAAGUGGAUUCAGUGGGGGGAAGAGUGAGGAGAGGGCUUGUAAGAAACUGUUUUCAUUUCAGAUCACUGUCAGACUCUGCAGCCUUAUUCGUUUUCAUAUGAAAUGUUACCAGUGUAACCUGUUUUUGUUAUUAAAGUGUCUUUCAAUGAUAGCAAGAGAAGAAAUCCUAGCAACGAAAAGGCAA